rnacentral:tRNA from 1 species
UAAAUUGAAGCCGAAUGUACAGGCACUUAGCUGUUAACUAAGACUCAGUGGGAUAAAUACCCGCCAGUUUAG